AAUAGAUACCCGGGUAGUCCACGCCGUAAACGAUGAGUGCUAAGUGUUAGAGGGUUUCCGCCCUUUAGUGCUGCAGCUAACGCAUUAAGCACUCCGCCUGGGGAGUACGGCCGCAAGGCUGAAACUCAAAGGAAUUGACGGGGGCCCGCACAAGCGGUGGAGCAUGUGGUUUAAUUCGAAGCAACGCGAAGAACCUUACCAGGUCUUGACAUCCUCUGCCAACCCUAGAGAUAGGGCGUUCCCCUUCGGGGGACAGAGUGACAGGUGGUGCAUGGUUGUCGUCAGCUCGUGUCGUGAGAUGUUGGGUUAAGUCCCGCAACGAGCGCAACCCUUGAUCUUAGUUGCCAGCAUUUAGUUGGGCACUCUAAGGUGACUGCCGGUGACAAACCGGAGGAAGGUGGGGAUGACGUCAAAUCAUCAUGCCCCUUAUGACCUGGGCUACACACGUGCUACAAUGGAUGGUACAAAGAGCUGCGAACCCGCGAGGGUAAGCCAAUCUCAUAAAGCCAUUCUCAGUUCGGA
rnacentral:rRNA from 1 species